CGUUGAAACACCUGUUCUCGUACGAUCAACGAAGUUAAGCAACGUCGAACCUGGUCAGUACCUAGGUGGGUGACCGCUUG